UCCCUGGUGGUCCAGUGGUGAAGACUCUGCACUUCCCAUGCAGGUCGUGUGGGUUCGAUGCCUGGUCAGGGAA
rnacentral:tRNA from 1 species